rnacentral:lncRNA from 10 species
AGUCAAUUCAGGGGAGAAUUGACAUCUUUAAAAUACUGGGUCAUCUAAUCAGUUCACAUGUUACAAGCUAUUGAGGCACUCCAGAGUGACGGCAUGUGAUCCCCCUGACACAAGAAACAGGCCCAGAUAACACACCGUUCAGACCGACAGCAGUUCUGGUUAUGCUGCAGUACAUCAGACGAGUGCUCUUAUCCAUCCACAGUUCUUAUCACAGUUACUUAUGCAUAUAUUCAUUUUUUAUAUAAAAGAAUCUUGAAUCGGUCACUUAAAUAUUGAAUCUCAAUAAUAAAAAAUACUAAAAGUAUAGCUAAAUGUGUUAUUUUAUUUUGCAUUUGUCCUACACUCUUCCCCUCACUUUUUUAGGACAUGUAAUCAAGACAUUUGGGAGGUUGUUCAAUACCAGAAUGACAGAGCACCAUCGACCAUGCUCAGACCGUACUAACCCCUUGACAAUUAUCACAGUCUUUCUUGGAUGGGGACUACAGAGUCCUGGAGGACCAAUGACAUAUUUUGGGGGGUAUGAUAAUUCUCUACAAUAACUUUUAAAUUUUGUAUUUUCACUGCAAUAAACUAAAACAUAACCAAUAUUAGUAAUAGUCUGCAUGGUCUGAUGACCACUUUAUGACCAAUGACAUUUUGACUUAUGAUCACAAUCUAAUUAAUGCCAAGAAGUACAACUUUAAUUGUCUCAAGAAUGGACAAAACACUGAAGUAUAUGUGAUAUGAG